UCCCAUCCCUUCUUGUUGUCGGUUAUACUUGGAAAAUAAAAACCAAAACCAUUUCCAACUUUCAUCUACUGUCUCGUGGGUUCCAAAAAUAUCAAAACCCAAAACCCCCAAAGUUGAAACCCCAAAACCCGUAAAAACCCAUUCCUUUCCCCUGUUCUUCGCUGCAACCUCGCCACACCUUCCCUUCAAUUCGCCGGCGAUUCGCCGAGUUUGCCGGAGUUUCCCCCCCCCCCCACCUUGCUGCUCGUCGGAGCCUGCUACAGCUCGCUGUUUUCUCUCUCUCUUCUUUCGUUCUUCCUUUCUUCUCCUGUUGUGUUGUUCGCUGCUGCUGCUUGGAGUUUCGCUGUCGCGAACGCCGCCGCCACUCCCUGUGUCGUCGUCAACCUCGUCGCUGCUAUCCGCCGCUGCCGGAACCGAGUCCCUUCCCCUGCCGUACGUGUCUUCCCUGCUCUUGAAGCAGAGGUUUGGUAUCAAGAGCUCGAGAAUGGAAGUGAAGCAAGAUUAAGAUGUCGUCGUGGCUUAAGGAUUAAGUUUAUAUUCUAGAUAGUUGUUUAUAUUUCGGUGUAUAAUAUUUGGGAAUAUUAUUGGAGAUAUUGGUGUAUUUAAGGAUAUUUUUCCGCUGCGAUUUUAUUCAUUAAGAUUUAGAUUCUAGUUUAUGGUGGUUAAGUGUGUUUCGCUAGCAGCUCGGAAGAGCGGGCUGUUACAGGUGAUAAAUCAACUGGCAAAUGAUCUGCAGCCAAUCCUCAACCCAAUCCCCUUCGCUCAGUGGACCUUUCACACCGGCGUCAAGGGGAAGAAAGUUCUUAAUUGUGGGUAUUGAUUACUUCACAAAGUGGAUUGAGGCAGAGCCAACCGCGAAGAUAACGGCCAUCCAGAUCUGUUUUUGGUUUUUCUAGAAGUCUGCUUCGUCGAAAAUUGAAGGAAAUUGAAGUUAGGUACUUUUUGUUUCGACUUCGCACAUGUCUCUCUCCUCUACAUCUUCCCGGUUUCGCUUAUUCCAUAAUCAGUUUAGUUGUUGUUUUAAUUUUAGGAAGUUUGUUGGCAUACUGUUGUUUUGUGUUCGAGUUGUAAAUUAUAAAACUAGGUUUUAGGUCCGUGCAUAAUGCACGGGAACUAUUUAGUAUAAUAACAAUGUUUAUAUAUCAGCUACAAUGAAAACAUGUAAAUGAUUUUUACGUUAACUUGAUAAAAAAAAAAAAAACUUUGUGUUUAAGAGAUAUACACCUUUAUAUUAAUUAUAAAGUUGUUUAACA